GAGUUGAGUAGAUCAGGUAAAAAGAGAAAAGGGAAUUUGUGUUUAUUUUAAUUUGGAUUUUGGUUUGGUUUGGCUAGUUGCAUUUUUUGGUACAAGACCUACUCUAGAACAGCAGGGAGGGAUAAGUACGUGCUCUGCAGUGUUUCUAAAUUAACUUCUCUUUAGGAAUUAAUUUCUGUCCAGUUUAAUGAUGUGAUACUUAAGUCAAAAAUCUGAGGUUACACAGUACCAAAUCUAGCUUCUCUCUCUGGGUUCCUUUUUAUCUUCUUUUUCCAAGUCAGCUUUUGUCUCUUGUUUCUUUUCCUUUUAGGGACUUAAUAUGUCAUCUAGAAUACUGAAGAACUAUGAAAACAUAGGGGAAGCCCAGGAAAUAAUAAAAUGGAUGUGGGAUUUUUAUAGGACAUCUUUAAUAAUUACAAAACUUAUGUCUUUAUGAAAAGAUUAAAAAAAAACUUUUAAGGGCAUAGUAAUUUGGGAAAUGAAAAUUAUUGGGAGUCAAAAAUAAUAAAUGCUACCCCAGCCUUCUGUAGUAACUUAUGCCUUCAGCAUAAGUUUUCCCUUAUUGGGAAAAUUAAAGUACUAAUGCUUGGCUAGUUCGUGGAUGUGUUAAGUGUUUGGAAGUAAGUUAAUAACUCAGCAUUUUAAUAAAGCACUUAUUCUCUACAAAUCACUUUAGAAAAGUCUUCACUCCCUAUAUUCCAUUUAGUCUUGGCAUUGCUCUAAGCAUUUUAUUUUUAAAGAAACUUUAUGUUUAGUGAAACCUGAAUCCAGGAUUUGCUUUAAUUUCACCCUCUAUUUUUUCCCAUCUUCCCCUUCCUCCUUUUUUUAGCUUUCUAAUGACAACAGAAAUCCAGACUUUCUGUUUUUAAUCCAGGAAGGCAGCUGAGUGUUCAUGCUCAGAGCUUCCCAGUGCCAUCUUUGUGGACACUGAGCCAGUCUUAGGUCAGAUGCUCACAACACGUAGGAUCCUCCUGAGACACAUUCUCCUACUCAGCACUGGAAAUCUGGAAGGAGCUUCUCUGGUGACUCAGUUUUCUUUCCAAUACUCUAAUUUCUUCUAGCGAUGGCCUGCAUCACACCAAGAACCGCCACUCAAAGCAAGCCUAUUAGAUACCUUGAUAAGGGAUGAGCAGGAAAAAACACACUCCAAAACUUCAAAGUGCCAUUAAUCAACUUUUAAAAAUAAAGGUAACAGGAAAUGAGGGCUAAACAAUGUAACCUAACUGCCAACUAAAGUCUACAGUAGUCUGGUCUUAGUUACAUUUGAUACGGAGCUAUAUAGUGUUAAGCA
rnacentral:lncRNA from 1 species